AUGACCUCUGCUUGCCUGACCUUGCUAAUACACCUUCUUAUCAUACUCAAGUCAACGCUGUGCAUUCGGGUCCUUCCUCCACCGUCGGUUUGUGACAGAACAAUCUGGCCAAACAUGGACCCAGCCGGCGCCAAGUCCAUCAAGAACGAGCUGCAAGCCCAGGAAGCGCGGAUUCGUACUCAAGAAGAACGAAUCACCACUAUGCUUCAGGAACUUUCCAGAUACGCAGCUCGCCAGGAAAAUCUCAUGACGGCGUACGGAGAACAACUGGCGGAACUUACCCAGCGAGUAAAACCAGCUCCAGCUCCGGUCGCCGCCGCAAUACCCACGCCGAGCUCAGCCGCUCCACACAUUCAACUCGGAGCUCCGACGUGCUUCUCCGGUGACACAGGUCUUCCGGCAACAUGUCCCAACUCACCAUGCCCACGCGGAGGGAGUCGCCGAGUCAGCCGAGUCAGCCGCGUCAGCAUCAGCAUCAGCAUCAGCAUCAGCAUCAGCAUCACAACCCAUGGUAUUGGGACGCCUACGUCUGACGAGCGUGGAGAAGGACCGCAGACGAAACUCAGGUCUGUGCUUAUACUGUGGCCAACCCGGCCAUAUCGCCUUUUCAUGCCCAGUAAAAGCCAACACUCCCCACUAGUCCAGAGGUUAGUGGUGAGCCAAUCUACACUGUGCAAAUCCUCCGUCAGGCCAUUACCCGUAGCCACAUUCUCCGUGGGGACCCAGUCUAUCCAGCAGGCAGUUUUGGUGGAUUCCGGUGCCGACGCUAGCCACAUGGAUGCUAGCCUGGCCCAGUGUCUGGGCGUGCCCACGUUUCCACUACCUACCUCAUUAGAAGCCACAGCCUUAGACGGUCAUAGAUUAUGGAAGGUCACGCACAGUACUGGUCCCAUCACUAUGGUUUUCCCAGAUGCUCAUUCAGAGCAGAUCCAUUUUCAUGUGGUCGAGUCUUCUGCACAUCCCGUGGUCCUUGGUUAUACCUGGCUCAGCCGCCAGGUAUAG
rnacentral:lncRNA from 1 species